GCAACUCGACUGCAUGAAGCUGGAAUCGCUAGUAAUCGCGAAUCAGAAUGUCGCGGUGAAUACGUUCCCGGGCCUUGUACACACCGCCCGUCACACCAUGGGAGUUGGAAGCACCCGAAGUCGGUGACCUGACCGUAAGGAGGGAGCCGCCGAAGGUGAAGCCAGCGACUGGGGUGAAGUCGUAACAAGGUACC
rnacentral:rRNA from 1 species